rnacentral:rRNA from 1 species
GCAUAUCAAUAAGCGGAGGAAAAGAAACCAACAGGGAUUGCCUCAGUAACGGCGAGUGAAGCGGCAACAGCUCAAAUUUGAAAUCUGGCUUCCUCUGGGGGUCCGAGUUGUAAUUUGCAGAGGGUGCUUUGGCGUGGGCGGCGGUCUAAGUUCCUUGGAACAGGACAUCGCAGAGGGUGAGAAUCCCGUAUCUGGGCGCCUGCCUUCGCCGUGUAAAGCCCCUUCGACGAGUCGAGUUGUUUGGGAAUGCAGCUCUAAAUGGGAGGUAAAUUUCUUCUAAAGCUAAAUACCGGCCAGAGACCGAUAGCGCACAAGUAGAGUGAUCGAAAGAUGAAAAGUACUUUGGAAAGAGAGUCAAAUAGCACGUGAAAUUGUUGAAAGGGAAGCGCUUGCAGCCAGACGUGCCCGCAGUUGCUCACCCAGGCUCCCGCCUGGGGCACUCUUCUGCGGGCAGGCCAGCAUCAGUUUGGGCGGUCGGAUAAAGGCCUCUGUCAAGUAUCUUCCUUCGGGAUGACCUUAUAGGGGAGGCGCAAUGCGGCCAGCCUGGACUGAGGUCCGCGCUUCUGCUAGGAUGCUGGCGUAAUGGCUGUAAGCGGCCCGUCUUGAAACACGGACCAAGGAGUCUAACAUCUAUGCGAGUGUUUGGGUGUCAAGCCCGGGCGCGUAAUGAAAGUGAACGGAGGUGGGAUCCCUUCGGGGUGCACCAUCGACCGAUCCUGAUGUCUUCGGAUGGAUUUGAGUAAGAGCAUAGCUGUUGGGACCCGAAAGAUGGUGAACUAUGCUUGAAUAGGGUGAAGCCAGAGGAAACUCUGGUGGAGGCUCGCAGCGGUUCUGACGUGCAAAUCGAUCGUCAAAUUUGGGCAUAGGGGCGAAAGACUAAUCGAACCAUCUAGUAGCUGGUUCCUGCCGAA